rnacentral:rRNA from 1 species
UUCCAGCUCCAAUAGCGUAUAUUAAAGUUGUUGCAGUUAAAAAGCUCGUAGUUGAAUUUCGGGACUAAUAUGUCGGUCGUACUUUGUACGUACUAGCAUUAUUGGUUUCUCUCUUCUGAAGAACCGCGAUGUCAUUAAUUUGGUGUCGUGGGGAAUCAGGACUGUUACUUUGAAAAAAUUAGAGUGUUUAAAGCAGGCUCGCGCUUGAAUACAUUAGCAUGGAAUAAUGAAAUAGGACGUUUGAUUCUAUUUUGUUGGUUUCUAGGAUCGACGUAAUGAUUAAUAGGGAUAGUUGGGGGCAUUAGUAUUCAAUUGUCAGAGGUGAAAUUCUUGGAUUUAUUGAAGACUAACUACUGCGAAAGCAUUUGCCAAGGAUGUUUUCAUUAAUCAAGAACGAAAGUUAGGGGAUCGAAGACGAUCAGAUACCGUCGUAGUCUUAACCAUAAACUAUGCCGACUAGGGAUCGG